CCUACGGGCGGCAGCAGUGAGGAAUAUUGGUCAAUGGACGAGAGUCUGAACCAGCCAAGUAGCGUGAAGGAUGACUGCCCUAUGGGUUGUAAACUUCUUUUAUAUGGGAAUAAAACGUUCCACGUGUGGGAUUUUGUAUGUACCAUAUGAAUAAGGAUCGGCUAACUCCGUGCCAGCAGCCGCGGUAAUACGGAGGAUCCGAGCUUUAUCCGGAUUUAUUGGGUUUAAAGGGAGCGUAGGUGGAUUGUUAAGUCAGUUGUGAAAGUUUGCGGCUCAACCGUAAAAUUGCAGUUGAAACUGGCAGUCUUGAGUACAGUAGAGGUGGGCGGAAUUCGUGGUGUAGCGGUGAAAUGCUUAGAUAUCACGAAGAACUCCGAUUGCGAAGGCAGUUCACUGGACUGCAACUGACACUGAGGCUCGAAAGUGUGGGUAUCAAACAGGAUUAGAUACCCCUGUAGUC
rnacentral:rRNA from 1 species